rnacentral:tRNA from 1 species
GCGCCGGUGGUGUAAGGCGACCAUCGCUGCCCGGAAAGCAGAAGAUGCGGGUUCGAGUCCCGCCUGGCGCG